rnacentral:lncRNA from 10 species
UAAAUAGUAAUGUCAGCAGCCAACCUUUACAGAAUUUACCAUAAUCCAGGACUCUUCUAAGAGCUCUGCAUAAAUGAACUCUCUUCAUCAUAAUCCUAUGAGAGCUCUCCCAGUUAUUGCUUUGUGACCUUAUCCUACAUUUUAAUCAUCCCAUCAAGACUGAGAACUUAGCAGAAGCAGAAAGAAACAACCCCCUCUUUGAAGAGUCUAAAAUAUCAGAUGUAUCCCUUGUUUCUAACAGUUUUUCUAUCUGAUUUCUUAUUUGUUAUGAGUUUCUGUUUUAUUGUUGAACUAACAAAUAUUUGGGAGAGUUGAGUUUACUAAUUUGUAUAUAUAUAAUUUAAAACAAAAUAAAAAUAAUGUAAACAAGCA